AGUUCAUUUGUCGUUUGUGAUUUUACAUCACAGGAAAUUUUUUUUGUUAAUCCGCAAUCGCCAUUUUUAAUUUUUAAGAUUGCAGUAAUAGAAAAGAAGCAUUCUAAAUUCUGAUUCUGCUAUGUUGCUAAUUGAUUAUGAUGAUUACGAUGUGACGAUUCAGAAGAAAAACGAUGUAGUACGAAUAAAACCGUGAAUAUUUCCUCCAAUUGAAGAAGAUGUUUCAUCGUUCAGCUGUGGCCGCAUAUUCACGAGGAAUGACUAUCACCUGAAGCAGAAACUUACUGGAGAGAAGCAGUAUGAGUGCCCACUCUGCAGCUUCUUGGGCACACAGGUUAUCUCUUACUGUACACAUUAGUGCAAAGUCUGCAACAAGAAAUUGGGGUAUAAAGUCAGUUUGUAGGAGCACAUGUCUACUCUUCCAGAUUGCUGAAUUGUGAAAGAAAGUAGAUUCUACCAGAUUGAUAAACUAUGAAAAAGCACUAACCACCCUAAGAAGAUUACACCAGAAUAAGUGGUUGCUCUAAAAGACCAGUCUAUAAAUAAUAAAAUUAAUUUAAUUAUAUUUAAAUAACAGCAUGCACAGUGUUGCCACUGUGUUAGUUCUAAUUCACUCUCUUAUGAUAUAGAUAUUAUAGUCUAUGAACAUGUACAACUAAUUAUUGUAACAUCACACAAGGUGAGUCAUUAUUUAAUGUACUCUAUGCUGCAUUGGUAUAUUGAUUUGUCCCCAAGUGAUAGGUAAAGGACUGUGACAAACUGCCAUAAGAUAACCAGUUAAUUAUAUGAAAUACUGUCAAUCUCUAUUUUUUCAUGUUUCUUAUUAUUUAAAAUGCAUAUUUACAGAUAGUUUUUUUUUUUUUUAAAUAAAUAUGUUAAAGAAAUGAAACUGGAUUAUUUCAUAUUUUUGUUUUUACUGUUUUUAAUAAUGAAGCUUAUUUUUGUUUGGUGUAAAAUAAUCAUUAGUGUUAUGGUGAAUUUGGUGAAAUUGUGAAGGCAUACAAUUUUCCUUUACCUAGUUUGUUCUUUUCAAAAGAAAAAGCUUUUGGUAGGCUAUCCAUUUUUGUUUUGAGUGACCUACUUAUUAAAAUCUUUAAUUUGAAAAUUAAAUAUUGUCCAUUUAUUUCAAGUAGUAUAUAACAUAAUUUAAUGUUUUGUUGUAUUUUCUCUCAAAAAAUUGUCAUGUCAUUAUUUUCUUGGGUAUUUGAAGCUUGUUACGACUAUCAUUGAAUAUUUAGCUAUCAUUCACUUGUCAGUGAAUAUGUCAAGUGACGUGAAAGUGAAGUGAAGUUCAAAUUACAAAAAAAAAUAUAUAGUUCAGGAUGUAAAUAAAGAAUAUUCUUUCUCUAUUUAGAAUUCUGUUUUUGCCAUUAUCAUAAAUCAAGACCAUAUUUUUCUGUGAUGCAGCCUCAAAGCGUCGCUGAUAGUUUUCCAAAUUAAGAAAAUAAAAAUAUGAAAAAGGAUGAAUAAAAUAUAUUUCAUAUUUUUAUUUUGCCAUUAUAGUAAAUCAAGCCUACACUUUUCUGUGUGGUGUAAAUUAAUUGGUUUUAGUGAUUUGUUAGUUACUGCUUUUGUAUCCCCUGGUAUUUCACUCAUGUAGCCUCAAAGCGUCGUUGAUAGUUUUCCAAAUUACAAAAAUAUAAAUAUGGAAAAGGAUGAAGAAUAUAAUAUAUUUCAUAUUUUUAUUUUUGCCACUAUCGUAAACAAACCCAUACUUUUUUGUGGGGUUAAACAAAUUAGUUUCGGUGAUUUGUUAGACACUGCUUUUGUGUCCCCUGGUAUGUCACUCAUGCAGCCUCAAAGCGUCGCUGAUAGUUUUCCAAAUUACAAAAAUAAAAACAUGAAAAAGGAUGCAGAAAAUAUAUUUCAUAUUUUUAUUUUUGCCAUCAUCAUAAAUCAAGCCUACACUCUUGUGUGGUGUAAAUUAUUUAGUUAUGGUGAUUCGGUAGACACUGUUUUUGUGUUCCCUGGUAUGUCACUCAUGCAGCCUCAAAGCGUCGCCGAUAGUUUUCCAAAUGAAGAAAAUAUAAAUAUGGAAAAGGAUGAAGAAAAUAUAUUUCAUAUUUUUAUUUUUGCCACUAUAAACAAGCCCAUACUUUUUUGUGGGGUUAAACAAAUUAGUUUCGGUGAUUUGUUAGACACUGCUUUUGUGUCCCCUGGUAUGUCACUCAUGCAGCCUCAAAGCGUCGCCGAUAGUUUUCCAAAUUAAGAAAAUAGAAGUAUGGAAAAAGAUGAUAAAAUAGUAAAUCAAGCCUACACUUUUCUGUGUGGUGUAAAUUAAUUGGUUUUAGUGACUUGUUAGUUACUGCAUUUGUAUCCCCGGGUAUUUCACUCAUGUAGCCUCAAAGCGUCGUUGAUAGUUUUCCAAAUUACAAAAAUAAAAAUAUGGAAAAGGAUGAAGAAUAUAAUAUAUUUCAUAUUUUUAUUUUUGUCACUAUCGUAAACAAGCCCAUACUUUUUUGUGGAGUAAACAAAUUAAUUUCGGUGAUUUGUUAGACACUGCUUUUGUGUCCCCUGGUAUGUCACUCAUGCAGCCUCAAAGCGUCGCCGAUAGUUUUCCAAAUGAAGAAAAUAUAAAUAUGGAAAAGGAUGAAGAAAAUAUAUUUCAUAUUUUUAUUUUUGCCACUAUCGUAAACAAGCCCAUACUUUUUUGUGGGGUUAAACAAAUUAGUGUCGGUGAUUUGUUAGACACUGCUUUUGUGUCCCCUGGUAUGUCACUCAUGCAGCCUCAAAGCGUCGCCGAUAGUUUUCCAAAUUAAGAAAAUAGAAGUAUGGAAAAAGAUGAAGAAAAUUACAAAAAUAAAAAUAUGGAAAAGGAUGCAGAAUAUAAUAUAUUUCAUAUUUUUAUUUUUGCCACUAUCGUAAACAAGCCCAUACUUUUUUGUGGGGUUAAACAUAUUAGUUUCGGUGAUUUGUUAGGCACUGCUUUUGUAUCCUCUGGUAUUUCACUCAUGUAGCCUCAAAGCGUCGCCGAUAGUUUUCCAAAUUAAGAAAAUAUAAAUAUGGAAAAGGAUGAAGAAAAUAUAUGUCAUAUUUUUAUUUUUGCCACUAUCGUAAACAAGCCCAUACUUUUUUGUGGGGUUAAACAAAUUAGUUUCAGUGAUUUGUUAGACACUGCUUUUGUGUCCCCUGGUAUGUCACUCAUGCAGCCUCAAAGCGUCGCUGAUAGUUUUCCAAAUUACAAAAAUAUAAGUAUAGAAAAAGAUGAAGAAAAUAUAUUUCAUAUUUUUAUUUUGCCAUUUUAGUCAAUCAAGCCUACACUUUUCUGUGUGGUGUAAAUUAAUUGGUUUUGGUGACUUGUUAGUUACUGCUUUUGUAUCCCCUGGUAUUUCACUCAUGUAGCCUCAAAGCGUCGUUGAUAGUAUUCCAAAUUACAAAACUAAAAAUAUGGAAAAGGAUGAAGAAUAUAAUAUAUUUCAUAUUUUUUUUUUUUGCCACUAUCGUAAACAAGCCCAUCCUUUUUUGUGGGGUAAACAAAUUAAUUUCGGUGAUUUGUUAGACACUGCUUUUGUGUCCCCUGGUAUGUCACUCAUGCAGCCUCAAAGCGUCGCCGAUAGUUUUCCAAAUAAAGAAAAUAUAAAAAUGGAAAAGGAUAAAGAAAAUAUAUUUCAUAUUUUUAUUUUGCCAUUAUAGUUAAUCAAGCCUACACUUUUCUGUGUGGUGUAAAUUAAUUGGUUUUGGUGACUUGUUAGUUACUGCUUUUGUAUCCCCUGGUAUUUCACUCAUGUAGCCUCAGAGCGUCGUUGAUAGUUUUCCAAAUUACAAAAAUAAAAAUAUGGAAAAGGAUGAAGAAUAUAAUAUAUUUCAUAUUUUUAUUUUUGCCACUAUCGUAAACAAGCCCAUACUUUUUUGUGGGGUUAAACAAAUUAGUUUCGGUGAUUUGUUAGACACUGCUUUUGUGUCCCCUGGUAUGUCACUCAUGUAGCCUCAAAGCGUCGUUGAUAGUUUUCUAAAUUAAGAAAAUAUAAGUAUGGAAAAAGAUGAAGAAAAUAUAUUUCAUAUUUUUAUUUUGCCAUUCUAGUCAAUCAAGCCUACACUUUUCUGUGUGGUGUAAAUUAAUUGGUUUUGGUGACUUGUUAGUUACUGCUUUUGUAUCCCCUGGUAUUUCACUCAUCUAGCCUCAAAGCGUCGUUGAUAGUUUUCCAAAUUACAAAAAUAAGAAUAUGGAAAAGGAUAAAGAAUAUAAUAUAUUUCAUAUUUUUAUUUUUGCCACUAUCGUAAACAAGCCCGUACUUUUUUGUGGGGUUAAACAAAUUAGUUUCGGUGAUUUGUUAGACACUGCUUUUGUGUCCCCUGGUAUGUCACUCAAGCAGCCUCAAAGCGUCGCCGAUAGUUUUCCAAAUUAAGACAAUAAAAAUAUGAAAAAGGAUGAAGAAAAUAUAUUUCAUAUAUUUAUUUUGCCAUUAUAGUCAAUCAAGCCUACACUUUUCUGUGUGGUGUAAAUUAAUUGGUUUUGGUGACUUGUUAGUUACUGCUUUUGUAUCCCCUGGUAUUUCACUCAUGUAGCCUCAAAGCGUCGCCGAUAGUUUUCCAAAUUAAGAAAAUAUAAAUAUGGAAAAGGAUGAAGAAUAUAAUAUAUUUCAUAUUUUUAUUUUUGCCAUUAUAGUAAACAAGCCCAUACUUUUUUGUGGGGUUAAACAAAUUAGUUUCGGUGAUUUGUUAGACACUGCUUUUGUGUCCCCUGGUAUGUCACUCAUGUAGCCUCAAAGCGUCGUUGAUAGUUUUGCAAAUUACAAAAAUAUAAGUAUGGAAAAAGAUGAAGAAAAUAUAUUUCAUGUUUUUAUUUUGCCAUUUUAGUAAAUCAAGCCUACACUUUUCUGUGUGGUGUAAAUUGCGACUGCGCAGGCCUACAGGGUUGGAGGCCGCAGGCCCACACGUCACAAAAGAAAAAAAAUGUGUCAGAACUUAUGUUUAAAUCCAGCUCCAGAGGUCCUGGGUUCCAGUCCACCUGGUCACUGUAUGCUAUUACCUACUAAACUAACCUAACUUAUCUAAUUGAGACUGUGAGGCUAUUUGGAUGAAAUAAUAACGACUCACACAGAAAGUCCAGAAAUUCUUUAUUUGUCAGUUAUUUCUUAUUAUAUAACCAGAAACUAUGAUAAAUUAUAUACGCUUAGUGCGAGUGAUUUUUUUUCUCGUCCCACGGAGGAAAGAAGAUGUGGGUUACUUGGACCGGACUCAAAGGCUCUAAUGUCCCGGUAUCUCAGUCGUUGAAUUGAGAGCCCGUGGGUCCAAAUCAUACUACCGGUAUUUCACACCAACCAACCAAACGGAAAGUUUGUUUAUUUUCCCACAAUCCCACCUCCGUAAGAGGAAGCAUAACUAAACUUUUAAUUAAGCAUGUACUACUUUAGACUAUUAUUUUUUCUUUGUUUUCCUAAAACAGCAUAAUAUUUGUAUUGAACAAAAUUAAACAAAAUAUCAUAAUACACCAAAAUACAAAAUACCACCAUAAAUCGUUAAGCACUAAACUUCUUAAAGCCUUCCAUGAAUCCCGCGAUGUCACGACGGAUUCGUACAACCUCUUCGAAACUCGUAGAAACUCAUAAAUCACCCUUUUAAAUUCUUAAAGGUUCUCGAAACUCAUUCUUAUAACUUUUUUUUUUCCCACUGAAACGAAAAAAUUACACGUCAUUGUUAAUUUCUACCGGCGUGGUCAAUGACCCCGCACAAUGUCCCGUAAAGUGAAAAAUAUUUCUUACCUGUUAAUAUCAAUUCUCUCAAGCCCAACCCCAAACAUGAAAUUUAGUCGCUAUACAGAUUCAUUGCCAACGGAAACUGGAACAAAGAUUUAUACAUUCUUUAACUGCGGCCAUUUAGUAAUACCUGAAUGUGCAAAGAAAUAUGUACUCACGGAAGACUCCUGUGAAAGAAAAUAAAAAUAUGAAAAAGGAUGAAGAAAAUAUAUUUCAUAUUUUUAUUUUGCCAUUAUAGUCAAUCAAGCCUACACUUUUCUGUGUGGUGUAAAUUAAUUGGUUUUGGUGACUAGUUAGUUACUGCUUUUGUAUCCCCUUGUAUUUCACUCAUGUAGCCUCAAAGCGUCGUUGAUAGUUUUCCAAAUUACAAAAAUAAAAAUAUGGAAAAGGAUGAAGAAUAUAAUAUAUUUUAUAUUUUUAUUUUUGCCACUAUCGUAAACAAGUCCAUACUUUUUUGUGGGGUUAAACAAAUUAGUUUCGGUGAUUUGUUAGACACUGCUUUUGUGUCCACUGGUAUGUCACUCAUGCAGCCUCAAAGCGUCGCCGAUAGUUUUCCAAAUUAAGAAAAUAAAAAUAUGAAAAAGGAUGAAGAAAAUAUAUUUCAUAUUUUUAUUUUGCCAUUAUAGUAAAGCAAGCCUACACUUUUCUGUGUGGUGUAAAUUAAUUGCUUUUGGUGAUUUGUUAGUUACUGUUUUUGUGUCUCCCGGUAUUUCAUUCAAGCCUCAAAGCGUCGUUGAUAGUUUUCCAAAUUACAAAAAUAUAAAUAUGGAAAAGGAUGAAGAAUAUAAUAUUUUUCAUAUUUUUAUUUUUGCUACUAUUGUAAACAAGCCCAGACUCUUUUGUAGGGUCAAACAAAUUAGUUUCGGUGAUUAGUUAGACACUGUUUUUGUGUCCCCUGGUAUGUCACUAAUGCAGUCUCAAAGCGUCGCUGAUAGUUUUCCAAAUUAAGAAAAUAAAAAUAUGAAAAAGGAUGAAGAAAAUAUAUUUCAUAUUUUUAUUUUGCCAUUAUACUAAAUCAAGCCUACAAUUUUUUUAAGUGGUGUAAAUUAAUUGGUUUUGGUGAUUUGCUAGUUACUGCUUUUGUAUCCCCUGGUAUUUCACUCAUGUAGCUUCAAAGCGACGUUGAUAGUUUUCCAAAUUACAAAAAUAAAAAUAUGGAAAAGGAUA
rnacentral:lncRNA from 1 species